rnacentral:rRNA from 1 species
GAUGAACGCUGGCGGCGUACUUAACACAUGCAAGUCGAACGAGAAGUGGAGACGGAAACCUUCGGGCGGAAGACUUUAUUUCGAGUGGCGGACGGGUGAGUAACGCGUGGGUAACCUGCCUCAUACAGGGGGAUAACAGUUGGAAACGACUGGUAAUACCGCAUAAGACCACAGCACCGCAUGGUGCGGGGGUAAAAACUCCGGUGGUAUGGGAUGGACCCGCGUUCGAUUAGCCAGUUGGCGGGGUAACGGCCCACCAAAGCGACGAUCCAUAGCCGAUCUGAGAGGAUGACCGGCCACAUUGGGACUGAGACACGGCCCAGACUCCUACGGGAGGCAGCAGUGGGGAAUAUUGCACAAUGGGGGAAACCCUGAUGCAGCGACGCCGCGUGAGUGAAGAAGUAUUUCGGUAUGUAAAGCUCUAUCAGCAGGGAAGAAAAUGACGGUACCUGAGUAAGAAGCCCCGGCUAACUACGUG